rnacentral:lncRNA from 1 species
UAAUCCUAACCCUAAUUGUAGACUUAUCCCUUAUCCAAAGCCUAAUAUAAACCUUAGCCCAAAUACUAACCCAAUCGAUUAAUCUCUCUCUCUCACCCAACCCUAACACAAACCCAAUUAAUCCUGUUCGAGUCAGUUGACCUAACCGUGAACCUAACCUAAUCUAGAAACCAACCCUAACCCUAACCUCCUCAUAUUGAAUUCAAAACAUAACCUAAUCAAUUGACAUCCUGACCCUAGCCCUAAGCCAACCCUAACCUGACCCAAUCACCAAUCUUGGCCCCACCCUCCCAACAUCAAACCCUAACACCAAUCGGAUUAAACCCCUUUCACUAUUCGGCUA